rnacentral:tRNA from 1 species
GGGAUGUAGCUCAGCUGGCUAGAGCGCUUGACUGGCAGUCAAGAGGUCGUGGGUUCGACUCCCAUCUUCUCC